AUUUGGUGAUGUGGGCAUUUAGCAAGUAAAGCUAUGAACCUUGUCCAAUAUUCAUAGAGACUUUCUCUAAUCCCUUGUUGAACACUACAAAUUUCCUUUCUCAUCCU